rnacentral:lncRNA from 1 species
GAAGAUUUGGACCAUUUUUCACUUGUAAUGGAGAAGCUGGUCAGAAAGCGUUUCCCGCUAGUUAGAGCUACGGCCGUAACGAUCUUAAUGUGCUGGAGCAGCUAGCUGAAAUCCCAGGAACGCCAGGGGAUUAUCCAGUGAAAAAGCUCAAGACGAGGACUUAUCAAGUUACCGCAAAGCCCAUCUGCCACAGGGAGGGCCUUUUCCUCGUUAGGCAGUAUUUCCCAAUAACCUACACACCUCUGGACCUGGUGGCUCAUGUGGAAAUUACAUCUCUUCAGAAAGAAAUAUGUCAAGGAGAGAAGCUCCUCAAGUCUGACACUGGAGAAUUAGUAGCACAUCCUGGAAGCAUAGGGCAAAAGCCGCAGAGCAGCGCUCCAGAGCGUACUGGGAAAGGGCUGAUGGGACUCUCUGAAUCCCACCGUCUACCCAGACCCGAUCAACACGCAGGUGUGCUCAAGCUUCCCAUGCCAGAGCCCUGUCACCGCAGCAGCUGACACAAUGGGACACUCCUGGCCACACACAUCCACCUGCUGUAUGCAAUGCUCGCAGAAUGUAAACAGCGGACGAGUCAAAGAGGAGUUAUCAAUGGAAGUUUCUUUUGAAAAAAAUCUGUUAGAUUAGGGCGGAUUUGGGAAGCAUGUGGAAGCUCAGCAAGAGCCUCAAGCCCAGAGAUUUGCCCUCCCACUCCCUGACAUGAGCACACCUCCAGCCUUGAUCUUCCCCUGCUUCCUAGGAUUGAGAUCUCCCAAUUAGCUGCCUCAGAACUGAUGCUGUAGCUGCCCCGAAACGUAAUUUCAAACCUUGCAGAAGCAGCAGGGCCAGAACUCAGAACUUUUUUUUCUGAUAUGAAGUUGAAUAUUAAGGACAGAAGAAGAAACAGAGAUAGAAAAAAAAUCUUAAGGCAUUCUGAGAUUAUGUUUCUUCUACAAAACUGUACUGUACAGUAUAUGUGUGUGAGAUACAGAAAAAAAAACAUCUAAUAUUAUUUUCCUCACAAAUGCCAGAAAAAUACAUCUAAACCAGAAGACUCUGGCUCGGAAAACAUCUUGGGUCUUGCAGUUUAUUAUUCAUCGUGUUCUGUAGUACUGCAAAGACAUCGUUUCACCUUUGUAUUGCUUCAACCCUGAACAGCAGCUGCUGUCUCAGAAACACGGGCGAGAUUUUUUUUCAUUGCUAAAGAAAUGGCUGAGUUAAGAUUUUGUGAAACUCUCAAUGGUGUUUCACAAUGGUGAAACACUUUUCACAAUGGUCUUUACACUGCUCCCUUCACAUCUGGUGAGCUUGCACAGAAUCCAGAUGAGUCCACUGCCCUCUGCAGAAGCCCUCCAAUGGCCAGUGCUAAAAUGAACAUUGAUAUUCUAGGGCACGAGCCUCCAGCGUAUUUCACAGGUCACCAAUGGAUCUCCAGUGCUGAAAGAAAGGGUGCGAUUUUGUCGGGAUUAGUUAAACAUGUUAUUUGUGAAAUUCAGAGAUUAAGAGAUGGAGUUAUUUAGAGAAUCUGAAUACCUUUCAGCUGUCUGAGGUCGGAGUUCCCGUAAACAAAUUACUUGCUUAAUUGGUCAAUGAGUUUUCUUAAUCCUUAAACAAAGGCCCUUUAGGAUAGUCCGGCCUCCCGGGAUCAGGUCUGGAGACCCCUGUUCUGAGGGAUAUUUUGCAAAAGAAUUUACACCAGUACAGAGUAAAGCAACCUUGCAGGCUGUUGAAAGUCUUGUUUUGCUUGAUCCUCAAUUGCUGAAGUGAUCAUCACCACCAUUAAGCAAUUAAAGAUGAAUUCAGUGAUUGAAGGAUUCAGUAACUCAUUAGUAGGUGGUAUCACACACCAGCAGUGGUCUGGGACGGCAGAGGUUGCCUGCUAGAGCCAAAGGCAGCUGUGCCCAGUUGGGCUUCAGUCUUCUGGGUUAGGCUCUGGAGCGCCGCUGUGUCUGCUGGUCUUCAGUCCAGCUGUGCUCUCCAUCAUUUACCCGAAUCGGCUCAUUAUCAGCCUAACUGGACAGCUGCUCAGGUCCUUGUGCUUUGCAGAGCCCCAGAAAUCCUGCAGACUCCCUGCCCCCCAUGACCAGGACAGGGGACCCCUGGUCUGGAGCCACAGCUGGACACCCAGUCGAGCCAACACACUGCGAUCUGUAAUCCUGUGUGUUGAUAGCACUUGAGUUAAAGGUCUAAGACCUGCUCUGUCAGUAAAGGCAAUUUCCAUUUACAAAGACAGCCUUAAGAACCACUGAUUCACUGAAACUCCAGUAGUUCCCACCCCAGGAAAACGUGCGCUCACAACGAAAAGCAUAGUUUUCAAAAACAUCAGAUUAACCGGAUUUAAGACCUGAAAAUUAGUUGCAUUCAGUGUGUCUGGCAAGAGCUUUUAUCUGUAAGACAAUUUCAAACAUGAUAUACUUACGUACAUGACCAAGAGCCCUUGUAAAGCGAGCUCUGUCUCAUUUCAGUACGUAAGGAGAAUAAAGACACUGUGAUAAAUGACUUAAUUUGUAUUAUAGAAUAAUAAUGAUGAUAGUAAUCCUUCUAUUCAGACUUUACAUUCUAUCAUUAUAUGCAUUAUAUAUAUAAUGAGAUUGUAUGUAACAUUAUACAGUAUAUAAAGGUCCCAGUGUUACUGUUCACUCUUUCUUGCAGC